rnacentral:lncRNA from 1 species
CCAACAUAGCCUUGUCACAUCUCUAUGUCAGUUGUCUGCUUAAAUUGUUACCAUUUACCUGCCAGUGAGAAAGGAGAAGAAAAAACAUAGAGGGGAGCCAGUUUUCAUUGUAAGGCUGGGACCUGGAUGUGGUGCCCAUCACUUCUAUGAGCCUGAGCUGAUUGGCGUGGCCACUCCUAGCUGUAAGGGAGGCUGGGAACUACACUGCCCUCUCCAACUGCCUGCCCUGCUCCUGCUCCAGGAUGCCCCGUGUUACUGAAAAGAAGAGGGUAAACGGGGAUGGGGGCAAUUAGAAGUCUCUGCCACUGCUUAUCAUAAUGACGUGCUUGCUUCCCUUCACCUUCUGCCAUGACUCUAAGUUUCCUGAGGCCUCCCCAGAAGCAGAAGCCUGUACAGCCCACAGAACUGUUGGAUCACAGACCAAUGGAACAGAAGGGAGACUAGAAAUAGACCCAUGCAAGUCAGUGGAGAAAGGAUGGAUUAUUUUCAUAAAUGCUGCUGGAAAUAAAUUUGAAUGGAAAAAAUGAAACUGGAUCACCACACCAUGCACAAAAAUUAAUUAUGGCUCAAUUAAAGACUUACGUGAUAAAUGCAAAGCUAUAAAACACAGAGUACAAUGCAGAAAGAUCAAUAUAUGACUUUGGAAUGGAAAGAUUUCUUAAAUAAGAUGCAAAAACUGUUAAUUAUAUAGAAAAAAAUGAUAAAUUUGACCACAUUAAAAUUAGGAAUUUCUGUG